rnacentral:rRNA from 1 species
ACGAACGCUAGCGGCGUGCCUAAUGUAUGCAAGUCGAGCGGGCAGAGAGACUUCGGUCUCUUUGCUAGCGGCAAACGGUUGAGUGACACGUCGGCAACCUGCCCGGAAGUGGGGGACAACCACUGGAAACGGUGGCUAAUACCGCAUGUGGAGGAGGGAGGCAUCUCCUUUCUCUAAAGCAGCGAUGCGCUUCUGGAGGGGCCGGCGGCCUAUCAGCUAGUUGGUGGGGUCACGGCCUACCAAGGCGACGACGGGGAGCUGGUCUGAGAGGACGAACAGCCAGACAGGGACUGGGAAACGGCCCUGACUCCUUUGGGGGGCAGCAAUGAGGGAUAUUGCGCAAUGGGGGAAACUCUGACGCAGCGACGCCGCGUGGGCGAGGAAGUUCUUCGGAAUGUAAAGCCCUUUUCUCCAGGAUGAGAGAGGACAGUACUGGAGGAAUAAGCCCCGGCUAACUACGUGCCAGCAGCCGCGGUAACACGUAGGGGGCAAGCGUUGUCCGGAUUUACUGGGCGUAAAGCGCGUGUAGGCGGUUCGUUAGGUCCUAUCGUGAAAGGCAGGGGCUCAACCCCUGGAUUGCGAGGGAAACCGGCGGGCUGGAGAGAGGCAGAGGAAGGUGGAAUGGCUGGUGGAGCGGUGAAAUGCGUAGAGAUCAGUCGGAACACCCAAGGCGAAGGCAGCCUUCUGGGCCUCAUCUGACGCUGUGACGCGAAAGCGUGGGGAGCGAACGGGAUUAGAUACCCCGGUAGUCCACGCCGUAAACGAUGGUCACUAGGUGUGGGAGGUAUCGACCCCUUCCGUGCCGGAGCCAACGCAAUAAGUGACCCGCCUGGGGAGUACGGCCGCAAGGUUGAAACUCAAAGGAAUUGACGGGGGCCCGCACAAGCGGUGGAGCAUGUGGAUUAAUUCGUCAUUAACCGAAGAACCUUACCAGGGUUUGACAUCCCCGGACAGCCGGUGAAAGCCGGUUUUCCUCUGGGAAACCAGGGGACUGGGAGACAGGUGUUGCAUGGCUGUCGUCAGCUCGUGUCGUGAGAUGUUGGGUUAAGUCCCGCAACGAGCGCAACCCUCACUGCCGGUUGCCAGCACGAAAGGUGGGCACUUUGGCAGAACUGCCCCGGCAACGGGGAGGAAGGUGGGGAUGACGUCAAGUCGGCAUGGCCCGUAUAUCCUGGGCUUCACACAUGCUACAAUGGGACGGACAGAGGGCAGCAAGACCGCGAGGUGGAGCUAAUCCCACAAACCGUUCCUCAGUUCGGAUUGCAGGCUGCAACUCGCCUGCAUGAAGUCGGAAUCGCUAGUAACCGCCGGUCAGCAAAACGGCGGUGAAUACGUACCCGGGCCUUGUACACACCGCCCGUCACGUCACCUGAGUCUGCUGCACCCGAAGUCGCUGGCCCAACCCAGGCAACUGGGAGGGAGGCGCCGAAGGUGUGGCCGGUAAGGGGGACG